rnacentral:rRNA from 1 species
UACGGAGGGUGCAAGCGUUGUCCGGAAUCACUGGGCGUAAAGGGCGCGUAGGCGGCUCAUGAAGGCUGUGGUGAAAGUCCGGGGCUCAACCUCGGAUCGGCCGUGGCGACUCGUGGGCUGGAGCACUGUAGAGGCGGGUGGAAUUCCGGGUGUAGCGGUGGAAUGCGCAGAUAUCAGGAGGAACACCGAUGGCGAAGGCAGGUCUCUGGGCCGCAACUGACGCUGAGGAGCGAAAGCAUGGGGAGCGAACAGG